UUAAGUUUAGCAAGUAUCCCUACCUGAUUCAAGGUUAAACUAGGGGUUUCUUGCUAGACGCGAGCCCGCCAGGAGCCUUCUGAAGCGCAAUGUGCUGCGCGAGAAGCCAGCGAUGCCGCUGCCAAUAGAUUUGGGGCGAGUCCUCGCGUGAAGCAGGGACAGACGCCUAACACCAAGCGAGGCUUAAAGGUGUAAAUGAC
rnacentral:misc_RNA from 1 species